GUGUUGGAGUGCACAAGCUAAUCUGGUUCACCAGAUAAGCCUCCACAGCUCAAGUGGCAGAGCGGGGAAAUCAAACCCGGUUCUCCAGAUUAGAGUGCCACCUGCUCUAGCCACUGCACCACUCCUGCUCUCCUUACAGGAGAGAAA